AGAGCAGAUUAGUUGUCAGGAAGAGUUAUCAGAGACAGAUGGUUCUUGGGAGCUGGUAGUAGAGUAGCAAGAGCAGUUGGCUGGCUGGUGUCCCUGAGUCAGAGCUGGAGAGGGCUGAAGGCAGCACCAGAAAAGGGAGAUGGCUCUGGCUUUACAGCUCAGAGCCAGGAGUUACACUAUGAUGGACUGGAGGAUAAACUUGUAUGGAGUUACUGGGGACUCAAGGGAAAAUGAAGCAUGGGGCACUUGUCUCUUCUCCUGUCAGAACCCAUAUAAUGUAGAUGGUUCAGCUUCUUCAGAAGUAAAAGAAAUCAAAUUGGCCAGUCCCCACCUGCCAUAAACAGAAAAUAUAUUUAGUGGAGUCCAGAUAUGACUCUUGAUUCUUAAAACUUCUGAUGUAGAAUGACGUCUACAGAGAAAAAGCUGAGAAGAUAACUGAAGGAGGAUAGUUCUGACUCCUUGCUCUCCUGUGGAAUGUGCCUUGAAGAUUACUAGUUGUGACAGUGUGUGGGGACUGCUAAUGUAACAUUAGGCCACUGCAUAAUCAUCAGAGGGUACUAUAAUGACUUUUGACUGUUACUAGCCUGAGCUGGAUUUGAACUGGUGACACAGAGAUGAAAGGUUUUAUAUGCUAUUUCCCUUAUCCUGUAGCUAUCGAGUUCCACUAAUGAGUGCUGAAUUCUGUUACCAUGGAGCUUUAUGUUUUGAAUAUUGUGCUGGUGUUUUCUGGAAAUGUUUUGAUGACAAUGGUAUGUCUUGAGCUGACUGUGCAACACCAUAUCAGAGACCCAUUUUAUAUAUUUCUCUUACUAUUACUAGAGCACAUCUUCAUUUUUAUAAAACCAAUCUUGGGAUAUGGAUUUGUGCCAUUGCAACAUUUUGAGCUGAUUAUUGUUAAUGAUUAGGAACUGGCAUAUGACAGUGAUGGGACUGUUUAUAAGAAUCUAGACUGACAACUGUCUUAUCUACAGACUGAUUCAGCAAGAAAUUUCAGAUUAGUAAAAGAUCAGCAGUUCUCACCAGAGACAGCUCAAUACGGUAUAUUUCUCAUCUCUUAGUAGCAUUCCAUGUUGACUUCAAGAUCUUUUAAAUGAUUUUGAAGACACUCCACCAUUCUGCUCAUUGGUACAUCUCCAAUUUGCUAGAUCCAUAUUGUCCCCACUGUUUGUUUACAAUCCUCAAAGCAGGGGUUGAAUUCUGUUCCACAAUUUCACCUGAAGACCUACAGAUGCAGUACAGAGUGAGGAUUGUUUCUGCUAGUAUGCAUUAUUCUGAAAAUUUGCUUCCACUAUAUUAGGAACUCUAUUAUCUCUGUGUAUGGACCUAGGACUAAUCUGAAAACUUCUUUUCAGUCUCAUUAAUUUUGAUAUGGUUUUGUAUCAAAGCUCAUGUUAAUGUUUGAUGUUUGUAUCAUUCUUUCAAUAAACUUGAUGUGAGCAAAUUGUAUUGCCUUGUACAAUAUCCAUAUUUCUAAGGUAUUAAAGCAACUAAAAUAAUACCAAUUAAUAUUCAGGAAAUUAAUGAGCUGAGAUAUUGGUUACUUUGCAAAAUAUACUCAUUUUACCAU